AGUCAAUAGAUACCCAGGUAGUCCACGCCGUAAACGAUGUCGACUUGGAGGUUGUGCCCUUGAGGCGUGGCUUCCGGAGCUAAACGCGUUAAGUCGACCGCCUGGGGAGUACGGCCGUAAGGUUAAAACUCAAAUGAAUUGACGGGGGCCCGCACAAGCGGUGGAGCAUGUGGUUUAAUUCGAUGCAACGCGAAGAACCUUACCUACUCUUGACAUCCAGAGAACUUAGCAGAGAUGCUUUGGUGCCUUCGGGAACUCUGAGACAGGUGCUGCAUGGCUGUCGUCAGCUCGUGUUGUGAAAUGUUGGGUUAAGUCCCGCAACGAGCGCAACCCUUAUCCUUUGUUGCCAGCGGUUAGGCCGGGAACUCAAAGGAGACUGCCAGUGAUAAACUGGAGGAAGGUGGGGAUGACGUCAAGUCAUCAUGGCCCUUACGAGUAGGGCUACACACGUGCUACAAUGGCGCAUACAAAGAGAAGCGACCUCGCGAGAGCAAGCGGACCUCAUAAAGUGCGUCGUAGUCCGG
rnacentral:rRNA from 1 species